rnacentral:rRNA from 1 species
UUAAGCGACUAAGCGUACACGGUGGAUGCCCUGGCAGUCAGAGGCGAUGAAGGACGUGCUAAUCUGCGAUAAGCGUCGGUGAGGUGAUAUGAACCGUUAUAACCGGCGAUUUCCGAAUGGGGAAACCCAGUGUGUUUCGACACACUAUCAUUAACUGAAUCCAUAGGUUAAUGAGGCGAACCGGGGGAACUGAAACAUCUAAGUACCCCGAGGAAAAGAAAUCAACCGAGAUUCCCCCAGUAGCGGCGAGCGAACGGGGAGGAGCCCAGAGCCUGAAUCAGUGUGUGUGUUAGUGGAAGCGUCUGGAAAGGCGCGCGAUACAGGGUGACAGCCCCGUACACAAAAAUGCACAUAUUGUGAGCUCGAUGAGUAGGGCGGGACACGUGGUAUCCUGUCUGAAUAUGGGGGGACCAUCCUCCAAGGCUAAAUACUCCUGACUGACCGAUAGUGAACCAGUACCGUGAGGGAAAGGCGAAAAGAACCCCGGCGAGGGGAGUGAAAAAGAACCUGAAACCGUGUACGUACAAGCAGUGGGAGCCUCUUUAUGGGGUGACUGCGUACCUUUUGUAUAAUGGGUCAGCGACUUAUAUUCUGUAGCAAGGUUAACCGAAUAGGGGAGCCGAAGGGAAACCGAGUCUUAACUGGGCGUUAAGUUGCAGGGUAUAGACCCGAAACCCGGUGAUCUAGCCAUGGGCAGGUUGAAGGUUGGGUAACACUAACUGGAGGACCGAACCGACUAAUGUUGAAAAAUUAGCGGAUGACUUGUGGCUGGGGGUGAAAGGCCAAUCAAACCGGGAGAUAGCUGGUUCUCCCCGAAAGCUAUUUAGGUAGCGCCUCGUGAAUUCAUCUCCGGGGGUAGAGCACUGUUUCGGCAAGGGGGUCAUCCCGACUUACCAACCCGAUGCAAACUGCGAAUACCGGAGAAUGUUAUCACGGGAGACACACGGCGGGUGCUAACGUCCGUCGUGAAGAGGGAAACAACCCAGACCGCCAGCUAAGGUCCCAAAGUCAUGGUUAAGUGGGAAACGAUGUGGGAAGGCCCAGACAGCCAGGAUGUUGGCUUAGAAGCAGCCAUCAUUUAAAGAAAGCGUAAUAGCUCACUGGUCGAGUCGGCCUGCGCGGAAGAUGUAACGGGGCUAAACCAUGCACCGAAGCUGCGGCAGCGACACUAUGUGUUGUUGGGUAGGGGAGCGUUCUGUAAGCCUGCGAAGGUGUACUGUGAGGUAUGCUGGAGGUAUCAGAAGUGCGAAUGCUGACAUAAGUAACGAUAAAGCGGGUGAAAAGCCCGCUCGCCGGAAGACCAAGGGUUCCUGUCCAACGUUAAUCGGGGCAGGGUGAGUCGACCCCUAAGGCGAGGCCGAAAGGCGUAGUCGAUGGGAAACAGGUUAAUAUUCCUGUACUUGGUGUUACUGCGAAGGGGGGACGGAGAAGGCUAUGUUGGCCGGGCGACGGUUGUCCCGGUUUAAGCGUGUAGGCUGGUUUUCCAGGCAAAUCCGGAAAAUCAAGGCUGAGGCGUGAUGACGAGGCACUACGGUGCUGAAGCAACAAAUGCCCUGCUUCCAGGAAAAGCCUCUAAGCAUCAGGUAACAUCAAAUCGUACCCCAAACCGACACAGGUGGUCAGGUAGAGAAUACCAAGGCGCUUGAGAGAACUCGGGUGAAGGAACUAGGCAAAAUGGUGCCGUAACUUCGGGAGAAGGCACGCUGAUAUGUAGGUGAAGCGACUAGCUCGUGGAGCUGAAAUCAGUCGAAGAUACCAGCUGGCUGCAACUGUUUAUUAAAAACACAGCACUGUGCAAACACGAAAGUGGACGUAUACGGUGUGACGCCUGCCCGGUGCCGGAAGGUUAAUUGAUGGGGUUAGCGGUAACGCGAAGCUCUUGAUCGAAGCCCCGGUAAACGGCGGCCGUAACUAUAACGGUCCUAAGGUAGCGAAAUUCCUUGUCGGGU